GGGUCUAUAGCUAAGUGGUAGAGCAUGUGCUUAGCAUGUAUGAAAUCCUGGAUUAAAUCCCCAGUACCUCCA
rnacentral:tRNA from 1 species